UACGUAGGGUGCAAGCGUUAAUCGGAAUUACUGGGCGUAAAGCGUGCGCAGGCGGUGAUGUAAGACAGAUGUGAAAUCCCCGGGCUCAACCUGGGAACUGCAUUUGGGACUGCAUCGCUGGAGUGCGGCAGAGGGGGAUGGAAUUCCGCGUGUAGCAGUGAAAUGCGUAGAUAUGCGGAGGAACACCGAUGGCGAAGGCAAUCCCCUGGGCCUGCACUGACGCUCAUGCACGAAAGCGUGGGGAGCAAACAGG
rnacentral:rRNA from 1 species